rnacentral:rRNA from 1 species
AUUGAACGCUGGCGGCAGGCCUAACACAUGCAAGUCGAGCGGAUGAAGGGAGCUUGCUCCUGGAUUCAGCGGCGGACGGGUGAGUAAUGCCUAGGAAUCUGCCUGGUAGUGGGGGAUAACGUCCGGAAACGGGCGCCAAUACCGCAUACGUCCUGAGGGAGAAAGUGGGGGAUCUUCGGACCUCACGCUAUCAGAUGAGCCUAGGUCGGAUUAGCUAGUUGGUGGGGUAAAGGCCUACCAAGGCGACGAUCCGUAACUGGUCUGAGAGGAUGAUCAGUCACACUGGAACUGAGACACGGUCCAGACUCCUACGGGAGGCAGCAGUGGGGAAUAUUGGACAAUGGGCGAAAGCCUGAUCCAGCCAUGCCGCGUGUGUGAAGAAGGUCUUCGGAUUGUAAAGCACUUUAAGUUGGGAGGAAGGGCAGUAAGUUAAUACCUGGCUGUUUUGACGUUACCAACAGAAUAAGCACCGGCUAACUUCGU